CCACUAUUGGAAUCCGAACACUUAACUCGGUUACUUGAUCUAUCAUAUCCCCCUUAGACAUAAGCCAUCGCUCUGGGUCAGUAACACACUAUACACUUUAAUCUAAACUAAAGUCACUUCACUCGAGAGUCCGAUACAUAAUCACACACACAAACCAUAAAACUUCACCCAAAUGACCACCUCAGAAAGUAUAUAACCAUAUCCUUACACAACUUCUUGAAUUACCACCUAUCCUUCUUUAACUCCAAUAAUCAACACCUAACACUUGCACACUUUCUAAUCACUAAUCCACAUAAACAACC
rnacentral:lncRNA from 1 species